rnacentral:rRNA from 1 species
GGGGAAUUUUCCGCAAUGGGGGCAACCCUGACGGAGCAACGCCGCGUGAGGGAGGACGGUUUGUGGACUGUAAACCUCUUUUAAUAGGGAAGAAUAACUGACGGUACCUAUUGAAUAAGCAUCGGCUAACUCCGUGCCAGCAGCCGCGGUAAUACGGAGGAUGCAAGCGUUAUCCGGAAUUAUUGGGCGUAAAGGGUCCGCAGGUGGUUAAUCAAGUCAGGCGUUAAAGGUCCGAGCUUAACUCGGGGAGAGCGGUUGAAACUGAUUGACUAGAGUACGGUAGGGGCAGAGGGAAUUCCUAGUGUAGCGGUGAAAUGCGUAGAUAUUAGGAAGAACACCAGUGGCGAAGGCGCUCUGCUGGGCCUGUACUGACACUGAGGGACGAAAGCUAGGGGAGCGAAAGGGAUUAGAUACCCCUGUAGUCA